rnacentral:rRNA from 1 species
AGCCACCGCUAUUGGAAUCCGAUUUAGACAUGUGAGUCGAGAGUCUUCGGGACUCGGCGGACGGCUCAGUAACACGCGGAUAAUCUGCCCUUGGGUGGGGAAUAAUCUCGGGAAACUGAGCAUAAUACCCCAUAGGCCUGAGAUGCUGGAACGCUUUCAGGCUAAAAGCUCCGGCGCCCAAGGAUAAGUCUGCGGCCUAUCAGCUUGUAGUUGGUGUAAAUGACCAACUAGGCGACGACGGGUACGGGCAUUGGGAGAUGUAGCCCGGAGAUGGACUCUGAGACACGAGUCCAGGCCCUACGGGGCGCAGCAGUCGCGAAAACUUCACAAUGUGGGAAACCGCGAUGGGGGGAUUCCAAGUGCUUACGUUUUGCGUAAGCUGUUCUUCUGCCUAAAAAGCAGGGGAAGUAAGGGCUGGGUAAGACGGGUGCCAGCCGCCGCGGUAAUACCCGCAGCCCGAGUGGUGGUCGAUAUUAUUGAGCUUAAAGCGUCCGUAGCCUGUCUGGUAAAUUCUUGGGUAAAUCGUGCAGCUUAACUGUCCGAAUUCCGGGGAGACUGCCAGACUUGGGACCGGGAGAGGUUGGAGGUACUCCUGGGGUAGGGGUAAAAUCCCGUAAUCCUGGGAGGACCAUCAGUGGCGAAGGCGUCCAACUGGAACGGAUCCGACGGUCAGGGACGAAGCCCUGGGUCGCGAACUGGAUUAGAUACCCAGGUAGUCCAGGGUGUAAACGCUGCAGACUUGGUGUCGGAGGUCCUACGAGGGCGUCCGGUGCCGGAGAGAAAUUGUUAAGUCUGCCGCUUGGGGAGUACGUCCGCAAGGAUGAAACUUAAAGGAAUUGGCGGGAGAGCACCGCAACGGGAAGAGCGUGCGGUUC